rnacentral:rRNA from 1 species
GACGAACGCUGGCGGCGUGCUUAACACAUGCAAGUCGAACGGAAAGGCCCUGCUUGCAGGGUGCUCGAGUGGCGAACGGGUGGGUAACACGUGGGUGAUCUGCCCCUUAUUUUGGGAUAAGCCUGGGAAACUGGGUCUAAUACUGGAUAGGACCAUGCUGUAGGUGGUGUGGUGGAAAGAUUAGUUUCGGUAAGGGAUGAGCUCGCGGCCUAUCAGCUUGUUGGUGGGGUAAUGGCCUACCAAGGCGUCGACGGGUAGCCGGCCUGAGAGGGUGGACGGCCACAUUGGGACUGAGAUACGGCCCAGACUCCUACGGGAGGCAGCAGUGGGGAAUAUUGCACAAUGGGCGCAAGCCUGAUGCAGCGACGCCGCGUGGGGGAUGACGGCCUUCGGGUUGUAAACUCCUUUCAGCCAUGACGAAGCCCUUGUGGUGACGGUAGUGGUAGAAGAAGCACCGGCUAACUACGUG